UCUACCUGCUCAUGAUUAAUUUGUUAAUAGCCGCAGUAUUUUGACUGUGCAAAGGUAGCAUAAUCAUUUGUCUUUUAAUUGGAGGCUAGUAUGAAUGGUUUUAUGAAAAUUUAGCUUUCUUUAUGUUAUAAAGUUGAAUUUAAUUUUUUAGUUAAAAAGCUAAAAUUAUUAAGUGGGACGAGAAGACCCUAUAGAAUUUUAUUUUUAAUAAACUGUUACUUAAUUUGGAUAUUAUUCUAUAAUUACAUUUCUCUUAAAAAUUUUGUUGGGGCGACAGGAUGAUUCCAUAAACUCUUCUAUAAUAUUUGUUAUUUAUGAAUAAUCUUUUGAUCCUAAUUAUUUGGAUAUUUAGAUUAAAUUACUUUAGGGAUAACAG
rnacentral:rRNA from 1 species